CUUUGUCAGCCAGAAUUGUAAGAAUACAAAAAUGAUUUUUCUGGAGAAUGUAAUGAAUAGUAGCUUCCUAAUUGUACCUUCUUCAUGUUACAUUUGAUUCUUUGUUAUGUUAGAAUGUUGUGUGCAUGUGCUAUGUGAAUGCUUUGAUUGUCCUGUGUAAAUGUUCAUAUGACAGUGCCUGUAAUUAUGCUUGUAAUUGUGUAGAUUGUGAGUACCAUCAAUACUAUAACUACCUGAUGCCUGGAGGAAAG
rnacentral:misc_RNA from 1 species